UACAGGGGGGGCAAGCGUUGUUCGGAUUUAUUGGGCGUAAAGAGCGUGUAGGCGGCCAUUCAGGUCAGCUGUGAAAACUCGAGGCUCAACCUCGAGACGUCGGUUGAAACCGUUUGGCUAGAGUCCGGAAGAGGAGAGUGGAAUUCCCGGUGUAGCGGUGAAAUGCGCAGAUAUCGGGAAGAACACCCGUGGCGAAGGCGGCUCUCUGGGACGGUACUGACGCUGAGACGCGAAAGCGUGGGGAGCGAACAGG
rnacentral:rRNA from 1 species